GGAUUUCGCAAGACUUCCUGUCUCUUUUAGCUUGUCGGUGUACCCGUGCAAGAUGGACGCUCCCCACCAGGCUAACGUGCAAAAUUUUUUAAUGCAUCCCUGCUCAAAUAUUAAGUUAGUAAAUGCAGACGUUCCUCCUUGAACUCAGAGGUUGUUUUUAAGAGCACUUAGAUGGAGAAUCUAGCGACAAUACAAUGAUGCUAGGCUAGCUCGUUAGCUUCCAUGCAACCAGCACGUGGUCCAGAGCAAUGCUCGUAGAAGUGAAUAAUCGUGGGUCUAUUGUGCGCCGCUUGGUUUCAAAUGCUGAAACAAGAGGACCUUGCAAAGGUGCAGUAAGUUAGCAGCCAUCAGGAACAUGAGUUCUCUGUGGGAAAAGAAUUUGAACGGUGACAUUUCUGCAUUGGAGUGAAUGAGCUGAAGAAAAUUAGUCCAGGGAAAACAUUUCUAUUUGAUUUAUUUGUAAAUCUAUAAAAAUACAAAUGUAAAGCAAUCCUGAAUUAUAAUGCUGUAGCCCACUAUGACUUCAGUCUGUUUGACUUUUUCUUCAAGUUUUCAAGGAAGAUUUGCUGCUCUUGGAGGUAGUCAUGCUCCUGUAUGCAUAAUUUACUUUAGUAGAAAUCCAUUCAAUGAUUGAAGAAAAAAAUGUGCUCUCCUGCAUGUGUAUGUUAAUCCUUCACUGUGAGUUUCAAUAAAGGUUACAACACUUUG